rfam:Bosea thiooxidans strain CGMCC 9174 V5_2, whole genome shotgun sequence.
CUGCGUCGCCCUCCUUGGGCGUUUCCUCCCUAGACUUGGGCUGCGCUUUCCGGCGUGGCCCUUUUUUCUUUUCGGG